rnacentral:rRNA from 1 species
UAGGGAAUAUUGGUAAUGUGCGAAAGCGCGAACCAGCAACGCCGCGUGCGCGAUGAAGGCCUUCGGGUCGUAAAGUGCUUUUAGAGAGGAUGAGGAAGGACAGUACUUUCUGAAUAAGCCUCGGCUAACUACGUGCCAGCAGCCGCGGUAAAACGUAGGAGGCAAGCGUUAUCCGGAUUUACUGGGCGUAAAGCGCAUGCAGGUGGUUUUGUAAGUUGGAUGUGAAAGCUCCUGGCUUAACUGGGAGAGGUCGUUCAAAACUACAAGACUUGAGAUUGGUAGAGGAAAAUGGAAUUCCGGGUGUAGUGGUGAAAUGCGUAGAUAUCCGGAGGAACACCAGUGGCGAAAGCGGUUUUCUGGACCAAUUCUGACACUCAGAUGCGAAAGCUAAGGUAGCAAACG